UGGAGAGUUUGAUCCUGGCUCAGGACGAACGCUGGCGGCGUGCUUAACACAUGCAAGUCGAACGGAAAGGUCUCUUCGGAGAUACUCGAGUGGCGAACGGGUGAGUAACACGUGGGUGAUCUGCCCUGCACUUCGGGAUAAGCCUGGGAAACUGGGUCUAAUACCGGAUAGGACCAUGAGAUUCAUGUCUUGUGGUGGAAAGCUUUUGCGGUGUGGGAUGAGCCCGCGGCCUAUCAGCUUGUUGGUGGGGUGACGGCCUACCAAGGCGACGACGGGUAGCCGGCCUGAGAGGGUGUCCGGCCACACUGGGACUGAGAUACGGCCCAGACUCCUACGGGAGGCAGCAGUGGGGAAUAUUGCACAAUGGGCGCAAGCCUGAUGCAGCGACGCCGCGUGGGGGAUGACGGCCUUCGGGUUGUAAACCUCUUUCACCAUCGACGAAGGUCCGGGUUUUCUCGGAUUGACGGUCGAUGGAGAAGAAGCACCGGCCAACUACGUGCCAGCAGCCGCGGUA
rnacentral:rRNA from 1 species